rnacentral:tRNA from 1 species
UCCGCGGUAGCUCAGUGGUAGAGCAGGUGACUGUUAAUCACUUGGUCGCAGGUUCGAAUCCUGCCCGCGGAGCCA